UCAAGAAACUACAAAGGAAUUGACGGGGCCCGCACAAGCGGUGGAGUAUGUGGUUUAAUUCGAUGCAACGCGAAGAACCUUACCUGGUCUUGACAUCCCGGAGACCCUUAGGAAACUAGGGGUGCUUCCAUCUGGAAGAAUCUGGAGACAGGUGCUGCAUGGCUGUCGUCAGCUCGUGUCGUGAGAUGUUGGGUUAAGUCCCGCAACGAGCGCAACCCUUGCCUUUAGUUGCCAGCAGUUCGGCUGGGCACUCUAAAGGGACUGCCGGUGUUAAACCGGAGGAAGGUGGGGAUGACGUCAAGUCCUCAUGGCCUUUAUGACCAGGGCUACACACGUACUACAAUGGCCGAUACAAAGGGCAGCGACACUGCGAGGUGAAGCCAAUCCCGUAAAAUCGGUCUCAGUCCGGAUUGGAGUCUGCAACUCGACUCCAUGAAGUUGGAAUCGCUAGUAAUCGUGGAUCAGCAUGCCACGGUGAAUACGUUCCCGGGCCUU
rnacentral:rRNA from 1 species